rnacentral:rRNA from 1 species
AAAAACUCCGGUGGUAUGAGAUGGACCCGCGUCUGAUUAGCUGGUUGGCGGGGUAACGGCCCACCAAGGCGACGAUCAGUAGCCGACCUGAGAGGGUGACCGGCCACAUUGGGACUGAGACACGGCCCAAACUCCUACGGGAGGCAGCAGUGGGGAAUAUUGCACAAUGGGGGAAACCCUGAUGCAGCAACGCCGCGUGAGUGAAGAAGUAUUUCGGUAUGUAAAGCUCUAUCAGCAGGGAAGAAAAUGACGGUACCUGAGUAAGAAGCCCCGGCUAACUACGUGCCAGCAGCCGCGGUAAUACGUAGGGGGCAAGCGUUAUCCGGAUUUACUGGGUGUAAAGGGAGCGUAGACGGCGAUGCAAGUCUGAAGUGAAAGCCCGGGGCUCAACCCCGGGACUGCUUUGGAAACUGUAUGGCUGGAGUGCUGGAGAGGCAAGCGGAAUUCCUAGUGUAGCGGUGAAAUGCGUAGAUAUUAGGAAGAACACCAGUGGCGAAGGCGGCUUGCUGGACAGUAACUGACGUUGAGGCUCGAAAGCGUGGGGAGCAAACAGGAUUAGAUACCCUGGUAGUCCACGCU